AGAAAACAGGCCCAAGCCCGGUAGACAACCGCCUGUCGCUCCACUUUUGCCGCUCGGCGGUUUGCCUCUUAUCGCGCCACCGCCAAGCGGUAGGGGUUUACCGCCCGACGGUUUGCCUCUUAUCGCAGGUCCGCCCAGGGUCCACGCCUGGUGUCGCUUCCUCGCUUCUGACCGCCCGGUGGUAAAUUUUGCCGCCGGGCGGUCCCUAGACUCUUCUUUUCUUCAAUUUUCUUCCUCUGUCUUGAGUCUAGGACCUUCAUUUUCAGCUCCAAUCUUCACUUUCAUCAAAAUAGCUGCAAAACAAUGCAAAACAAGCAUAAUAUCGCUAAAAACAGCUUUUGACUCUCCACUGACUCAUUUAUUGAGUUUUGUUUGAUUCUAAGCUCAUUCUAAGCCUUAAGGGGUGUAAUUUGGUC
rnacentral:lncRNA from 1 species